CUUAAAUUAGGUCUGCAGUUGGCACUGCAACUAGGCUGGCUGUGUUUAAAAAAAAAGUAUUUGUCUUACUUAUGGUAUUAAAAAUUCAGCUCUUCUUGGAUGAAGCCAAACAAGCCUAAAGUAUGUUCUCCAUGAACAUGGCACCUGGAACUGAGAGUACACAAGGGUUUUUUUGAGAGGAAAGAGAAACAAAAAGGUUGCUGACAGCAACACAGCAGAGAACUGGCCAUGAAGCUGAACCCUGAUGAGCACCACUGCAGCCCAACCACCAGCCAGGUGUUACCCCUAUGCUGCAACUCCCUGAGCCUGACCUUUCCCACAGUUCACUCGCUGUCCUGUGUACACAAUUAGCUUUCAUGGGAUGGUUUUGUACAGAAGGACACUGUAAAAGACAGUAGCAAAAACUCUGCUAAAAAAAAUUUCAUCUUUAGGUGAUCAUUCUGCUUUGUUUUCAGAGAGCUGCUGCAAUGGCAAUUGUGCCAAACAUGCCCAGGAUUGUCAAUGAAAUAUGUAUCUUCCAGUGCAAAAAAUACUAAUGCAGAAAAAUAUUUUAAGAAAGU